rnacentral:tRNA from 1 species
GGCCUCGUAGCUCAGCUGGAUAGAGCACCGGACUUCUAAUCCGACGGUCGCAGGUUCGAAUCCUGCCGAGGUCACCA